GAUGAACGCUAGCGGCAGGCCUAAUACAUGCAAGUCGAGGGGCAGCACGAGUACUUGUACUUGGUGGCGACCGGCGCACGGGUGCGUAACGCGUAUGCAACCUACCUUACACUGGGGGAUAGCCCGGAGAAAUUCGGAUUAAUACCCCAUGGUCAUGAUUCACUGCAUGGUGGAUGAUGUAAAGAUUUAUUGGUGUAAGAUGGGCAUGCGUCCCAUUAGCUAGUUGGUGAGGUAAGGGCUCACCAAGGCGACGAUGGGUAGGGGUUCUGAGAGGAAGAUCCCCCACACUGGCACUGAGAUACGGGCCAGACUCCUACGGGAGCAGCAGUAGGGAAUAUUGGUCAAUGGGCGCAAGCCUGAACCAGCCCAUGCCGCGUGCAGGAAGACGGCCUUUCUGGGUUUGUAAAACUGCUUUUAUACGGGGAAGAAAGAGCUCAUGCGUGAGCAGUUGCCGGUACCGUAUGAAUAAGCACCGGCU
rnacentral:rRNA from 1 species